UAUUAAAGGCAACGCCUGCCCAGUGAAUAAUUAAACGGCCGCGGUAUCCUAACCGUGCAAAGGUAGCGUAAUCACUUGUCUAUUAAUUGUAGACCUGUAUGAAAGGCAUAAUGAGGGUCUAACUGUCUCUUCUAGUAAAUCAAUUAAACUGAUCUCCUAGUCCAAAAGCUAAGAUAUCAACAUAAGACCAGAAGACCCUGUGAAGCUUUAACUAAACUAUUAAAUCUCCUAAUACCUCCUUUCGGUUGGGGCGACCUUGGAAAAAAAAAGAACUUCCAAAUAUACAAUAUAUAAUAUUCUUCAACUUAGGCCGACAGGC
rnacentral:rRNA from 1 species